UAUAAAUUUAAUUCUAAUUUUAAAAUUAGCUUAUCUGUUAUCAAUUAUGAUAACCUAAUAAAUGCUAGAGGUUUGUAUAAGGAAUUUUCUUAAUAUUAUCAAGUAUAAGUGAUGUAGAUAUAAACCUUGCUAAUAUUGUGCCAGCAGCAGCGGUUAUACAAUUAGUUACUAAUCUAUAUAAUUAAGUAAGCUAUAUUAAAUGCAAAGGUGAAAUUCUUAAAAGUAAUUUCUAUUAUGGCGUUAAUAAAUAAUAACAAAAACAAGGAUUAGAUACCCUUUUAUUAUUAAUAAAUAAUUUUAAUUUGAAAGGUAAAACAAAAGAAUUUGGCGGUGUUUCAUUCAAUUAGGGGAUCCUGUAAUUUAAAUUGAUAGUCCACAGUUUAUAUAUCUAAUAUUUGAAAUUAUCAAUAAAUGUAUUGCCGUAUUAUAGCUCUCAACAGAGGAAUUAUUUAAUAUAUAAUAGUUAUAUAAAUCACAGGUAAAAUAUUGUUUAUGUAUUAGAAUUAAUUGGAUACCUUAAUUUAAAGAUAUUAUUAAUGCUAGAAUAAAUGCAUUAAAAAAUAGGACUUAAUAGUAAUUAACUUAAAUAAAGUUAAUGAAAUAGAACUUGAAAUAAGCACAUAUUGCCCGUCGGUUUCUUUCAAAAUAGGAUAAGUCGUAACACAGUAGGCGUAAUGGAAAUUGCAUCUCAAACUAU
rnacentral:rRNA from 1 species